rnacentral:rRNA from 1 species
GAUGAACGCUGGCGGCGUGCUUAACACAUGCAAGUCGAACGGAAAGGCCCAAGCUUGCUUGGGUACUCGAGUGGCGAACGGGUGAGUAACACGUGGGUGAUCUGCCCUGCACUUCGGGAUAAGCCUGGGAAACUGGGUCUAAUACUGGAUAGGACCACUUCUUGGAUGGUGUGGUGGAAAGUUUUUUCGGUGUGGGAUGAGCUCGCGGCCUAUCAGCUUGUUGGUGGGGUACUGGCCUACCAAGGCGUCGACGGGUAGCCGGCCCGAGAGGGUGUACGGCCACAUUGGAACUGAGAGACGGACCAGAGUCCGAAGGGGGGCAGAAGGGGGGAAUAUUGCACAAUGGGCGCAAGCCUGAUGCAGCGAGGCCGCGUGGGGGAUGACGGCCUUCGGGUUGUAAACUCCUUUCGCUAGGGACGAAGCGUUUUUGUGACGGUACCUGGAGAAGAAGCACCGGCUAACUACGUG